GCUGGGCAUGGUGGCACAUGCCUGUAAUCCCAGCUACUUGGGAGGCUGAGGCAGGAGAAUCGUUUGAACCCGGGAGGUGGAGGUUGCAGUGAGCUGAGAUCGUGCUACUGCACUCCAGCCUGGGUGACAGAGCGAGACUCCGUCUCAC
rnacentral:SRP_RNA from 1 species